GUUCAGCACACCCUUUUUAUCUCUUCUCUGCGGGACGUCUCCAUCCAGAUUACUGGAAAAAAAGCGGAAAAGGAUUAACUUCAUGAUUCAGUGAGAAUUGAUCCUAAAGGAGAAAGAGAAAGGGUCACCUGGAUUCUUCUGGAGGACCCAUCAGGAAGCUCAGCCUCUCUUUCCCUUAAGGAAAAGCCAGCACACACAGCACAGCCAGUUGCAUGCACGUUUUCUUCUCUUGCUGCCUGCCAGGCUGAUCCUGCCAAGGUGCUGAAUCACUCCUGAAAGAGCCCAGCACCAGCCCCAUACCCUGCACCCCGGGCGAACGGCAGCUUCCUAGAGCCCAGGAGAUGUGAUCAGAUAUGUCUCCAACUUACCCAAUGCAAUAACCUGCUGAAAUAAAGCAACAGAUGCUGACUCAUGCCCCAGCGUUUUUGUGCUACUCUGCUCACUCAAAGGAGCUGGCAAUCGUUUGACUUUCCUGAGGUUGGGAAGGAGGAGAGGACAGGAGGUGUGGGGACAGAGCCAAGGUGGUUUUGGUGAUGUCUGAGUGCUGCCUCUGUGCAUAGCUUUUAUUUAGUUAUUUUCUCUUGUGUUUUUUGUUUUAAAUUGAUUCAGUUAUUGGGUUUCACUUUUCCUUUCUAAUUUGACUCACUUAUUGGGGUUUUGCUUUUCCUUUCUAAAAUGCCAGUUACUGGGUUUUGCCUCUUUUUUUUUCCUUUCUUCUUGUAAAUGGACUCAGUUUCUGGGGUUUUCUUUUCUUCCUCCCCUUCCCCUUCCCUUCCCUCCCCUUCCCUCCUCUCUUCUCCUCUACCUCUCCCCUUCCCCUCCUCUCCCCUCCCUUCCCCUCCUUUCCUCUCCCCUUCCCCUCCUCUCCUUUCC